rnacentral:rRNA from 1 species
UACGGAGGGAGCUAGCGUUAUUCGGAAUUACUGGGCGUAAAGCGCACGUAGGCGGCUUUGUAAGUAAGAGGUGAAAGCCCGGAGCUCAACUCCGGAACUGCCUUUUAGACUGCAUCGCUUGAAUCCAGGAGAGGUGAGUGGAAUUCCGAGUGUAGAGGUGAAAUUCGUAGAUAUUCGGAAGAACACCAGUGGCGAAGGCGGCUCACUGGACUGGUAUUGACGCUGAGGCACGGAAAGCGUGGGGAGCAAACAGG